rnacentral:rRNA from 1 species
UGAGGUGUGGGUAGGGGUGAAAGGCCAAUCAAACUUCGUGAUAGCUGGUUCUCCCCGAAAUGCAUUUAGGUGCAGCGUCGUGUGGUUCCUGCUGGUGGUAGAGCGACUGGAUGGUCGAUGGGCCCGCGAGGGUUACUGAGAUCAGCUAAACUCCGAAUGCUGGUGGGUGGAGCGCGGCAGUGAGACUGUGGGGGAUAAGCUUCAUGGUCGAGAGGGAAACAGCCCAGAGCACCGGCUAAGGCCCCUAAACGUGCGCUGAGUGGGUAAGGAUGUGGAGCGGCCCAGACAACCAGAAGGUUGGCUUAGAAGCAGCCAUCCUUGAAAGAGUGCGUAAUAGCUCACUGGUCGAGUUGCUCUGCGCCGAUAAUUCAGCGGGGCUUAAGCGUACUGCCGAAGCCGUGUGGCCCGCACUGUGUGUGGGUUGGUAGGGGAGCGUCGUGUGGCGGGUGAAGCGGCCGCGGGAGCGAGUCGUGGACGCUAUGCGAGUGAGAAUGCAGGCAUGAGUAGCGAAUGAGGGGUGAGAAACCUCUCCGCCGAAUGACCAAGGGUUCCAGGGGCAGGUUCAUCCGCCCUGGGUAAGUCGGGGCCUAAGGCGAGGCCGACAGGCGUAGUCGAUGGAUAACGGGUUGAUAUUCCCGUACCCGUGGCGGCGCGUUUCCCGUAAGGGAUGGAGUGAUGGGGUGACGCAGCAGGGGCGCCCAGCCCGGGCGGUGGUUGUUCCCGGGGUAAGGGUGUAGGGCGGUGUGCAGGGAAAUCCGCGCACCAUGAGGCCCGAGACCUGAUGCCGAGCCGUGUGAGGCGAAGUGGGUUCUCCCUGGUGCCGAGAAAAUCCUCUAGCGAGUGCCGUGGCGGCCCGUACCCGAAACCGACGCAGGUGGUCGGGUUGAGAAUACUAAGGCGAUCGGGUGAACCGUGGUUAAGGAAUUCGGCAAA